GCCCGGUGAAUAUUUAUUUAAACGGCCGCGGUAUUUUGACCGUGCAAAGGUAGCAUAAUCAGUUGUCUUAUAAUUGAAGACUGGAAUGAAUGGUUAAACGAAAUUAGAGCUGUUUCAUUUGUAUUUAUUAGAAAUUGGCUUUUAAAUGAAGAGAUUUAAAUUUGAUUAAGGGACAAGAAGACCCUAUUGAGCUUUAAAUAAUUUUAAGGGUUAAAGUUAUUAUAAAGAUCUAUGAUCUUUAGUAUUUUUUUAGUUGGGGCGACUAAGGAACAGGCGAAGCUUCCUUUAUUUAUUUAAUUGAUAGAUUUUGAUCCUGUAUUACUGAUUAAGAGACAUAGUUACCAUAGGGAUAACAGCAUAAUCUUCUUGGAGAGUUCUUAUUAAAAAGGGGGGUUGUGACCUCGAUGUUGGACUAAAAUAUCCUAAGGGUGUAGAAGCUUUUAAGGGUUGGUCUGUUCGACCAUUAAAAUUUUACGUGAUCUGA
rnacentral:rRNA from 1 species